rnacentral:rRNA from 1 species
ACCCGCUGAACUUAAGCAUAUCAAUAAGCGGAGGAAAAGAAACUAACAAGGAUUCCCCUAGUAACGGCGAGUGAAGCGGGAACAGCUCAAAUUUGAAAUCUUACAGGGUUACCUGUACGAAUUGUAGUUUAGAGAAACGUUUUCGGGUGAAGAUUGGGCAUAAGUCCUUUGGAACGAGGCAUCAUAGAGGGUGAGAAUCCCGUCUUUGGUCCAAAUCCUUCAUUCAUGUGAUACGUUUUCCACGAGUCGGUUUGUUUGGGAAUGCAGACCAAAAUGGGUGGUAAAUACCAUCUAAAGCUAAAUAUUGGCGAGAGACCGAUAGCGAACAAGUACCGUGAGGGAAAGAUGAAAAGAACUUUGAAAAGAGAGUUAAACAGUACGUGAAAUUGUCAAAAGGGAAACGUUUGAAACCAGUAUUGCCUGCAAGUAAUCAGCCGUGCCAUCCGUGCGGUGCACUUGCUUGUUGGCAGAUCAACAUCAGUUUCUUCUGGGGUAAAAAGCUUGAGAAAGGUAGCCCAUCUCUGGGUGUUAUAGUCUCUGGUUCUGCCCUGGAGGAGACUGAGGUCUGCAGCGUUUUUGGGUACCCAGUCGCUUCUUGAAGCUUCUCAAUAGACAGCACGCUGACUAUUGGUGAGUGUAGGGAACACGGUUGGUUCGCCACACCAACGCUUAGGAUGUUGAUGAAAUGGUUUUAAAUGACCCGUCUUGAAACACGG